rnacentral:rRNA from 1 species
UACGUGAGGUGGCGAGCGUUGUCCGGAUUUACUGGGCGUAAAGAGCGCGCAGGCGGUCGUGCAAGUCGCGUGUGAAAGCCCCCGGCUCAACUGGGGAGGGUCACGCGAUACUGCUCGACUGGAAGGCAGGAGAGGGAAGUGGAAUUCCCGGUGUAGUGGUGAAAUGCGUAGAGAUCCGGAGGAACACCAGCGGCGAAGGCGGCAUCCUGGACUGGUCCUGACACUCAGGAGCGAAAGCGUGGGGAGACGAGUCCGGCGAAUUCAU